rnacentral:rRNA from 1 species
UACGUAGGGUGCAAGCGUUGUCCGGAAUUAUUGGGCGUAAAGAGCUCGUAGGCGGUGUGUCGCGUCGGCCGUGAAAACCUGCAGCUUAACUGUGGGCGUGCGGUCGAUACGGGCAUCACUGGAGUUCGGCAGGGGAGACUGGAAUUCCUGGUGUAGCGGUGAAAUGCGCAGAUAUCAGGAGGAACACCGGUGGCGAAGGCGGGUCUCUGGGCCGAUACUGACGCUGAGGAGCGAAAGCCAGGGGAGCAAACGGG